AGCUACAGGCUUAACACAUGCAAGUCGAGGGGCAGCAUGGUCUUAGCUUGCUAAGGCCGAUGGCGACCGGCGCACGGGUGAGUAACACGUAUCCAACCUGCCGUCUACUCUUGGACAGCCUUCUGAAAGGAAGAUUAAUACAAGAUGGCAUCAUGAGUCCGCAUGUUCACAUGAUUAAAGGUAUUCCGGUAGACGAUGGGGAUGCGUUCCAUUAGAUAGUAGGCGGGGUAACGGCCCACCUAGUCUUCGAUGGAUAGGGGUUCUGAGAGGAAGGUCCCCCACAUUGGAACUGAGACACGGUCCAAACUCCUACGGGAGGCAGCAGUGAGGAAUAUUGGUCAAUGGGCGAGAGCCUGAACCAGCCAAGUAGCGUGAAGGAUGACUGCCCUAUGGGUUGUAAACUUCUUUUAUAAAGGAAUAAAGUCGGGUAUGGAUACCCGUUUGCAUGUACUUUAUGAAUAAGGAUCGGCUAACUCCGUGCCAGCAGCCGCGGUAAUACGGAGGAUCCGAGCGUUAUCCGGAUUUAUUGGGUUUAAAGGGAGCGUAGAUGGAUGUUUAAGUCAGUUGUGAAAGUUUGCGGCUCAACCGUAAAAUUGCAGUUGAUACUGGAUAUCUUGAGUGCAGUUGAGGCAGGCGGAAUUCGUGGUGUAGCGGUGAAAUGCUUAGAUAUCACGAAGAACUCCGAUUGCGAAGGCAGCCUGCUAAGCUGCAACUGACAUUGAGGCUCGAAAGUGUGGGUAUCAAACAGGAUUAGAUACCCUGGUAGUCCACACGGUAAACGAUGAAUACUCGCUGUUUGCGAUAUACAGCAAGCGGCCAAGCGAAAGCGUUAAGUAUUCCACCUGGGGAGUACGCCGGCAACGGUGAAACUCAAAGGAAUUGACGGGGGCCCGCACAAGCGGAGGAACAUGUGGUUUAAUUCGAUGAUACGCGAGGAACCUUACCCGGGCUUAAAUUGCAGAUGAAUUACGGUGAAAGCCGUAAGCCGCAAGGCAUCUGUGAAGGUGCUGCAUGGUUGUCGUCAGCUCGUGCCGUGAGGUGUCGGCUUAAGUGCCAUAACGAGCGCAACCCUUGUUGUCAGUUACUAACAGGUUCCGCUGAGGACUCUGACAAGACUGCCAUCGUAAGAUGUGAGGAAGGUGGGGAUGACGUCAAAUCAGCACGGCCCUUACGUCCGGGGCUACACACGUGUUACAAUGGGGGGUACAGAGGGCCGCUACCACGCGAGUGGAUGCCAAUCCCCAAAACCUCUCUCAGUUCGGACUGGAGUCUGCAACCCGACUCCACGAAGCUGGAUUCGCUAGUAAUCGCGCAUCAGCCACGGCGCGGUGAAUACGUUCCCGGGCCUUGUACACACCGCCCGUCAAGCCAUGGGAGCCGGGGGUACCUGAAGUGCGUAACCGCGAGGAGCGCCCUAGGGUAAAACUGGUGACUGGGGCU
rnacentral:rRNA from 1 species